rnacentral:rRNA from 1 species
UACGGAGGGGGCAAGCGUUGUUCGGAAUUACUGGGCGUAAAGGGCUCGUAGGCGGCCAGCUAAGUCGGAUGUGAAAUCCCCAGGCUUAACCUGGGAACUGCAUCCGAUACUGGAUGGCUUGAAUCCGGGAGAGGGAUGCAGAAUUCCAGGUGUAGCGGUGAAAUGCGUAGAUAUCUGGAGGAACACCGGUGGCGAAGGCGGCAUCCUGGACCGGCAUUGACGCUGAGGCGCGAAAGCCAGGGGAGCAAACGGG